rnacentral:sRNA from 1 species
UGGUGAACAUCAGGGAGCCCAGUGCAGAGAUCAAGGUGGAACCUGCAGAACCAGAGCCAGUCAUUUCAGGAGCUGAAAUAGUAGCUGGAGUUGUUCCAGCCACAAGUAUGGAGCCACCAGAACUCAGGAGUCAGGACUUAGAUGAGGAACCGGGAAGUACUGCAGCUGGAGAGAUUGUUGAAGCAGAUGUUGCCAUUGGGAAAGGCGAUGAGACUCCACUUACAAAUGUGAAGACAGAGGCAUCCCCUGAAAGCAUGUUGUCUCCAUCACACGGCUCAAAUCCCAUUGAAGAUCCUUUAGAGGCAGAGACUCAGCACAAGUUUGAAAUGUCAGGGUCAGAGUUACUCUCGAGCAAGGGGAAAGAAGGAACGCCUCUUAGCUUAGUCUUAACUCUGUCUGUAGUGAGGAUCAGGAAGCUAUUCAGGCACAGAAAAUUUGGAAGAAAGCCAUCAUGCUUGUAUGGAGAGCUGCAGCUAAUCAUAGGUAUGCCAAUGUCUUCCUGCAGCCUGUUACAGAUGACAUAGCACCUGGCUACCACAGCAUUGUGCAGAGGCCUAUGGAUUUGUCAACUAUUAAGAAAAACAUAGAAAAUGGACUGAUCCGAAGCACAGCUGAAUUUCAGCGUGACAUUAUGCUGAUGUUUCAGAAUGCUGUAAUGUACAAUAGCUCAGACCACGAUGUCUAUCACAUGGCAGUGGAGAUGCAGCGAGAUGUCUUGGAACAGAU